GCAAGCAUGGCGUAGUGGUUUGAGCAUUGGACUGCAACUCUAGAGACCAGGGUUCGAAUCCUGGCUCAGCCA